UGUUCGGCCCAGGAGGCAUAAAGCGGAAGGAGAACGAGAUCGGUCCAGAGAUCUGCGAGAGACCAGGCAUGUUCCGCCACCCGACCAACUGCAACAAGUUCUACGAGUGCUUCUGGGACCAGUGGUCCGAGCGGUACACACUGCACGUGUUCAACUGCGCGGUCAGGCUGGUGUACGACGAGUCCAUCUCGGCCUGCAACUGGGGCUACAGCAACUCGGACUGCGCUGACCGGCCCGACGAGGAGCUGGAGCGGCUGCUGCGCGAGGCCGACC